UCCCAUACACAAGGCCUGUUCUCCUCAGGGUCCUCCAGGCUGCUGGAGGAUAGGCGCCGGCGCUGGGUAUGGCGACGGUUGACAGUGUUAUCAUCAUACUGCCAGGUACCUGGAGAAGAAGAAACAACAGAGGUUCUAGGAGCCAUUCCUCAGGCCAAGCGCACAUGGUGGCUCCGGUCCAGGAGCACAGGAGUCAACACAGAAUCUAGCAGGAUGUGAGUGGCCUGAGACACCUGGCAGUGUGAGCCACUCACGACAGGAAGAGUGAAGAGCAGGUGCUGACACGUGCCACAGCUGCCCCUCCUAGCUAGGUAGUCACUGCCUGUGACCCAUGGACCGAUGGGGACACUGCAGGCGUUCUGCAUUGGCGAACUUACCUAGCAUCCAUCUUGCAUGCUCCGUACUUGGGUCUGGACUUGUGAAUAUUAGUUAUGAGGCUGAGCUGAGCGCUUCCUGCAUGGAAGGUGGAUGCGCAGAACACCUCUGACCUAUAGCCUGUGUCUGCAGGGGGAGCCAGGGGUGGGCAGGGGCUGCAGCAUAGUGCGGGCCAGGGAAGGGAGGCCUUGGAUGGGAGAAAGUGUAUGUUUGUUCAGACCUUCUCCUGUACCUCUUCCUUGCCUGAGCAUCUUUUCAUCCAAGAUGCUGUUUCUCACCCAGCCCCUGCUGCCCCUGUGCCCAAAAGGGAGACUCAACCCUGACUCUUCUCCGCUUCACGCUCUACUGCAACCUACCUACCUUGUUUGCUCUUCCCAGUUACACCCACACCUGCAGCUACCUGGGCCUCAUAUCCCUUCCUAGGUUCCAAGGGUCUGAUCUCUGGCAGGUCACCUUCCUCAGGGUCUUGGCUUCCUCUUAUGUUCAGCGAGGCAAGUGUGUGGCACUCACAGAUUGGCUGUGAGGCCUGCAUGGGGCCCUAUGUGAAGAUGCCCAGCAGCACACCGGACUCAGAAAUGAUCUGUGAGCAGCUCCUGCCAGCUUGGUUUGGGGGGACCCUCCUGUGUUUCCUAGGUCCCUCUAACUGGCAAGUCAGCUCUCCGGCAGAGCGGCUGUGCUUUAGACAAUGGCAGGCCUGACUCCUGCCAGGCUCGGGAUGUUCAGGGAAGCUACUUGUCUCUUCAGCUCUGCUAGGCAAGCUUCCGCAGGGACCAUUCACAGCCCUGGGUCCAAUUUACAAAUGGCCAAAGUCAGCCUCAGAUUCAGCGAGCCUAAGACAUGAAGGACGUCCUUAACGGCAUACGCCUGGGGGGAAGCAGGACUCCGGAGCUGCGGCUGUUCAGCAGGAGAGACCAAAAGCAAAUGGUGAACGAGAGAGAAGACACACAUGCACACACAAGUAAAACAGCAGUGGCCACAGCACUGCCACCGUGGUCACUGCUGCCAGCGUCCAUGGCGCAGGGCCUGACGCUGUCCUGACCAAACUCACACAAGUCCUUAUGCAACGUGUCCCCCCCAACCCCCGAGAGCCCCUGUCAGGCUGCGGGUGUGGCUGUAGAACAGUCUAGGCUGCAGGUGUGCCACAUGUAAUGAAAAACACGGCGAGAGAACAAGACGCCCUUUGCCCGGGAGGGACCCACAGGAUCCACGGCAGCCCUCACAUGCUUGCCUCUCCACAGCCUACUCAGAAGGCAGCCUGGAUCCCAAGGAUGUCUGAGUGUGCCCUCCCAUGUGCCUGGAUCCAAGCCUUCUGGCAAGAAAAUGGAGACCAGAACUCCCUCCAGGGAGGGACAGUGGCGCUGUAUGGUUGGUUCCCUUUUGGGGAAUCAGAAAUGAGAGGAGGAAGAGGCCGAUUUAGGGACACUUAGCGUAUCUCUCUGCUGUCUCUACUAAUGUGCUGAUUAAGUUAAGGGCUAUAGUAGUUAAAAUAUGCUUAUCUUGUGAUUUAGAUUUCACAUUAGAGUGUGCACUGCAAACAUCCCAUUUUAAAAACAAAAGCACAGGAUCUCACUUUGUAGCCCUCUUUGGCCUGGAACUUGAUAAGUAGACCAGGCUGGCCUCAAACUCAUAGACAAUC